GAUACAUCAUGACUCAAGAGUUUGUUCUUCUUUCGAUAGAAACAUUUAUGAAACUCUCUCGGUUAGCCUUCCCCACGGAAGGGAGAUCCACAAGCACACUCCUAGGGGUGCAAAAUACAUGUGUAGUGACAUCAUGCAAACAAUAAUUCCCAAGAAGAGCUAUAAUGUUAGCCUGAAACUAAAUAGGAGUACAAAUAGAACCAUAGUAUAUCCAUACAUGAGAGUAAUGGACUAACCUGAGCAUCAUUUUAGAUGUCACCAAUGGACUCCUCUAUUUUUGAUGAGAAAAACAGAAUAGAACAGAAUUUAAAAACCACAUACAAUGAUUUUAACUGUUUGUAUAUAUGAAACAUCAAUUGUUUUCAUUAAUUAUGCAUUUUGUAGUCAAUAGGUGAAAUUUUAACUUUUGUUUCUUAUUGUCAGUUGUCUAUUAGCAGGAUAAGAAGAAAACAUCACCAGUUAAACAGUCAGACAUGA
rnacentral:misc_RNA from 1 species